rnacentral:rRNA from 1 species
AUUGAACGCUGGCGGAAUGCUUUACACAUGCAAGUCGAACGGUAGAGGGGGCAACCCCUCGAGAGUGGCGAACGGGUGAGUAAUAUAUCGGAACGUGCCCAGUCGUGGAGGAUAACGUAGCGAAAGUUACGCUAAUACCGCAUACGAUCUAAGGAUGAAAGCGGGGGAUCGCAAGACCUCGCGCGAUUGGAGCGGCCGAUAUCAGAUUAGGUAGUUGGUGGGGUAAAGGCUCACCAAGCCAACGAUCUGUAGCUGGUCUGAGAGGACGACCAGCCACACUGGAACUGAGACACGGUCCAGACUCCUACGGGAGGCAACAGUGGGGAAUUUUGGACAAUGGACGCAAGUCUGAUCCAGCCAUUCCGCGUGCAGGAUGAAGGCCCUCGGGUUGUAAACUGCUUUUGUACGGAACGAAAAGGUCUCUCUUAAUACGGGGGACUCAUGACGGUACCGUAAGAAUAAGCACCGGCUAACUACGUGCCAGCCGCCGCCGUAA